rnacentral:misc_RNA from 1 species
UGGCUGCUUCAGGACCCAUUCAAAGAGCUCCUUUGUCUCCAUCAUACGAUUCUUGUUUUCAUCCUCAAAGAGUGUCUGAUCAUACCUAAAACAGACUACCAAUUCAAGGCUUUUUUCCAAUUGACAAGUGCCCUAAUGUUAUAAUUGUCAAAGUCAGAUGUUAAUAGAUAACUGCAUAUGAGUUGAGUUGUGCCCACUCCAGUGAAAUGGACCAACUUAAAUAAUGCCAGCUGCCUUGAGCCAGUGAUGGUAGCCACCCAACUAAAGAAAUAACUUUUAAUGUUGGGCAUCUAAGGUACAACAUACCCACAAGAUAAGUGUGGCAGAAAUGCGGACGUUAAAAAUGAAUGUCCGGUAACACAAUAAUGGAUAAGAUUAAGAAUGACCACAUCCGCUUGAGGGUGCAUGUACCAUAUAUUGAAGAUAAAACAAGAGAUGAUCGAGUGAGAUGGUUUGGUCAUGUCCAACGUAG